AUUGAACGCUGGCGGCAGGCCUAACACAUGCAAGUCGAACGGCAGCACAGAAGAGCUUGCUCUUUGGGUGGCGAGUGGCGGACGGGUGAGUAAUGUCUGGGAAACUGCCCGAUGGAGAGGGAUAACUACUGGAAACGGUAGCUAAUACCGCAUAACGUCGCGAGACCAAAGUGGGGGACCUUCCGGCCUCACACCAUCGGAUGUGCCCAGAUGGGAUUAGCUAGUAGGUGGGGUGAUGGCUCACGUAGGCGACGAUCCCUAGCUGGUCUGAGAGGAUGACAAGCCACACUGGAACGGAGACACGGUCCAGACUCCGACGGGAGGCAGCAGUGGGGAGUAUGGCACAAUGGGCGCAAGCCUGAUGCAGCCAUGCCGCGUGUAGGAAGAAGGCCUUGGGGUUGUAAAGUACUUUCAGCGGGGAGGAAGGCGGUGAGGUUAAUAACCUCGCCGAUUGACGUUACCCGCAGAAGAAGCACCGGCUAACUCCGUGCCAGCAGCCGCCGUAA
rnacentral:rRNA from 1 species